CUGUUGCUGCUUUUCACAAGGGGAAACGAAGAAGAGGCCAGGACCUAGCAAUGGUGGUGGAGUGGGGAGGGAAAUUAUCCAUGUGAUUGUUAUUAUCCCCAUCUACCUGGGUUACUGGCAUACUGCUGUUUAUCCUGAUAGAGAACAAAGUGGCAGAAGUAACUUACUGAGGCCAACAGGGUGAAGAUUGCAACCCCCCCUUUUUAAACUAACCUGUGAAAUCCUGUCUGACCUCCAAACUGGCGAUGUCAAGGGUACCGAGUCCUCCUCCUCCGGCAGAGAUGUCAAGUGGACCUGUUGCAGAGAGCUGGUGUUAUACUCAAAUUAAAGUGGUCAAAUUUUCCUACAUGUGGACCAUCAACAAUUUCAGUUUUUGCCGGGAGGAAAUGGGCGAGGUCAUCAAAAGUUCAACUUUUUCAUCAGGAGCGAAUGACAAAUUGAAAUGGUGUUUGCGUGUGAAUCCAAAGGGCUUGGAUGAAGAGAGCAAAGAUUACCUUUCACUCUACCUGUUACUGGUCAGCUGUCCAAAGAGUGAAGUCCGAGCCAAAUUCAAGUUCUCCAUCCUGAAUGCAAAAGGAGAAGAAACAAAAGCAAUGGAGAGUCAACGAGCCUAUCGGUUUGUGCAAGGCAAAGACUGGGGAUUCAAGAAAUUUAUCAGAAGAGAUUUUCUUUUGGAUGAGGCCAAUGGACUCCUUCCAGAUGACAAACUCACUCUCUUCUGCGAGGUGAGUGUAGUCCAGGACUCUGUCAAUAUCUCCGGCCAAAACUCCAUGAACAUGGUGAAAGUACCUGAAUGCCGUUUGGCUGAUGAGUUGGGAGGCCUCUGGGAAAACUCCCGCUUCACUGACUGCUGCCUGUGUGUGGCAGGCCAGGAGUUCCAAGCUCACAAAGCCAUAUUAGCAGCACGUUCUCCAGUUUUCAGCGCUAUGUUUGAACAUGAGAUGGAAGAGAGUAAAAAGAAUCGAGUAGAAAUCAAUGAUGUGGAGCCUGAAGUUUUUAAAGAAAUGAUGUGUUUCAUUUACACGGGGAAGGCACCUAACCUUGACAAGAUGGCUGAUGAUUUGCUUGCAGCUGCUGACAAGUACGCCCUGGAACGCUUGAAGGUGAUGUGUGAAGAUGCUCUGUGCAGCAACCUGUCUGUAGAAAAUGCAGCAGAGAUCCUGAUCUUGGCUGAUCUACACAGUGCAGAUCAGCUAAAAACUCAGGCAGUUGACUUCAUAAACUACCAUGCUUCUGAUGUCAUGGAGACUUCAGGCUGGAAAUCGAUGGUUUUAUCUCACCCUCAUUUGGUGGCUGAGGCAUAUCGUUCGUUGGCUUCUGCACAGUGCCCGUUUCUGGGACCCCCACGCAAGCGGCUGAAGCAGUCCUAAGGCUGGACCCCAUCACACAACCUUGUGUGUGUGUGUGUGUAUUUUUUUUAAUGGAAGUAGCGACGGAAGAAGUUGCUUCUCCCAACUUUGACCACCAGAUGAUCCCAACCCAUCCGGAGCCGAUGUCCAGCCUGGAAUGCAUCCAAGUCUAGUCCUGCAGUUCGACUGACCAGAAGUUUCAAGGGUCUCAGAAGCUGUGCAUGGAAAGCUAAGUGGUUCAUUGGUUAGGGCAGCCUUUCCCAGACUGGUACCCUCUAAAAGUCUUGGUCUGCAACUCUCAUGCACACUGAGAAUGUUAGUACUUGCAAUCUUGACUCACCUAGAGGGUAGCAGGUUGGGGAAGGCUGGUUUAAAGUGUCAGCAAAGGCGAGGUGGUGCGGUAGUUCAAAUCUGCAUUCAGCUUUCUGGUAGAGUGGGGGGGGGGGUUAGGGGGGCUAUGACACCUAUAACAGGAUUGAGGCCUCUGAUCACACCCUGGCCACAUUCUAGGUGCAGACCAAAUUCAGGCUUAAUCUAAAAUUCAGAUUAGUUUUCCAGACAUCUGGCAGUCCUCUGUGAAAGUAACCCCCUCUCCCUUUGCAUUUCUUUCCAUGGAAGAUAAUAGUGAGUUGACCUGUCCCAAAUUUAUAAUCUUGCAUGUCUUAUUCCUCUCCAAUCCCUCAAGACUAUUCGGCCGGUUCAUUAACUGGAUCCAGCCAGAGCCGUAUUGACUGCAGCUGGGAGUCUCUGCUGACUGGUUCCACUUUUCUCAAUGGUCUGUUUCAGUUUGCUUAUAUGGGGUGCCAGCUCGUUAUAAAGCUGGAGUUGAACAUAUCUUUAACCCCUGAUUCAAAGUCAGUUGCAAGAUGCAAAAACACAGAUGUUGUAUGAGUGUGCUUCCAGUUUUUCUAGUCUCUCGGGUGGGAGGUGGCAGGAGGUUCCUAAGGUUUGUGGGGUGAGAGUUGCACUAGAUGUGCCUGUGUCAUCUUCCUAUCAAGGCUGCCAAAUGUCUGCACCCAGCUCCAUGCAGCUUCCAGUAUAGUGCAAGUCCUCUGAAUUUGCUGCUUACAAGAUGCCAGAGACCCUCUGAGAAACUGUGACACUGAAGUGCUUUAGUAAACUGGCCCAGCGUAUGCGUUGGAAUAGCCUUCAGUUGAAUACAGUGAAGGCUUCAUGGAAUCCUUCAGAGCUGUCAGAAUUGGACACGCUGCAUGUGCCUGCCCAGGAGCAGGCUGUGUGUCUACGAGGAAGGGAGUCGGAGUCUGCUCCGUUCCCUGAGGGGAAGGGCUGCUCUCCAACCUAUGACCCUGGCCCUCUGCCUAUGGACUGCCCCUGGCCCAGCUGUAUGGGCUGCCAUGCUACAGGGAGGUUAAGGGAGCCUGCCCCCAGUGGCUAGAGAUGUUACUGCAGGCUCCAAACUCAUGGAUACCUUCAAACUAAUUACAUGUGAAGAACAAAAUAUCCUCCAGGAACACAGCCAUAAGGUCCCCUUAGUGCGCAUGCCACAUUUCCCAAGCCGAGUGCUAUGGUGCCGAUGGACAGAUGGAGGUACACUGUGCUAUUACUGAUACAGACAAGGGUGCUACAGAUGAGAAGAGGCAGUUGAAGCAGCAACAAUGCCCAGCUGUUGCAGAUCGCACUUUGGGCCCAUCGGCCUUUCUUUUUCAAGGUGGACAAUUUCUCAGAUGAAACACGCUGGGCUCAAAAGUGGCUGGAAGUCUUCCUUAGAAGGCUUCUUUUGAUACACUGGCAACUUUGGCUAUUCUGAGGUGAGGCAAAUAAAUAGACUCUGCACAUGCCCAGAAGCACCCUCCAUGUUAUUUAUUCCCAUGUUCUUGCACUUGUAAGAAUUUCCAGGAUUAAAUUUUCAGGAUUAAACUGUCAAGCAAGUUCAGGCAUGCAGCUAACUGAGGAGCACUCUUGAUAGUUAAAGGGAAAGGUAGCAGACCACAUGCUCUGCAUGCUGAAAGCCCCGGCAUCAAUGUGCACCACCUCCAGGAAGGGCCGGAUCAGACCAAGGCUCCGUCCGCAUUUAGCCCAGUCUUCUGUUUCCACCAGUGGUCAAUAGGGUACCUCUAGGAAGCCCAUCAUAAGCAGGAGAUGAGGGCAAUAAGCUCCCCCAUUGUUGCUACCCCACAACUAGACUCUAGAGGUGAUGCUGCCCCUGAUCUGGAAGAUUGCGUAUAGCUAUCAUGACUCGUAGCCACAAAUAUUUAUUUUCCAUGUAUGUGUCUGCUUUCCUUUUAAAGCUGUCCACAUUCGUGGCAAUAAAACAACUGAUUCUAUUUUAUUUUUAAUUGGUUGCCAUCCUACCAUCUAUCUGGACUGCCUACAUUCAACCCAUGGAACAGGGAACUCCAAAUCCCAUCGCAGGUAGGAGGCAGCUCAGCAGAAGGGCAAGAUGCUAGGGCAGGACUCUGGUGCUACCAUGCCUUACUCCAUGUGCACUUUACAAAAUUAUCCUGGCCAAAAGACUGGUGGUGGUGUGUGGAUAGGAGGGGAGGUAGGCAGGAGAAUUCUCCUAAGCCGGCAGAACUAGAAUUUCCGUCUUUGUGCAGCAUUGUUCAAAUUGCAAUGUGGGAAAGAUCCAACAGAUGCUCCUCCCCUCCCAUGCAGACUCGGAGCAUUAAAUUUCCAUGGAGCAGCCUAUGCUGCCCAAUUUGUCAUUGCUGGGCAUUUGUGAAAGGCAAAGGAACCCUAUUCUGGGGGCAAGGCAGUUGGUUACAAAGCAUUAUUUGGAGAUGCUCCUACCUUGCUGGUCUCCUCUGACUCUGAUCUGGCUUACAUAGGGAGUAAAGAGUAGUUUCUCCCUGUGGUUUGUUAUGCAGCACUGUGUAAGUGAAAUUACUGCAUUGUGCACGAAUGAUGUCAGAGGAGACUAGUCUAUAUGCAAAAACCAUUAAUUUUAGAAUUCCAGUUAUGAAUUAGAAACCAAGUUGGAUUCAGUGUGCUCCUGUUAUGGGCCAGAAUGUAGGUGGAAGAAACAGGCAAAAUCUUGUGCCUGCACACCUUUUUGGAUUUUUCCUCAUGGGGACUCCUCUGCUACCACUGUGUAAACAUCACUGCCCAGCAUCCUCCAGCUUUUCCAUCAAAGUGGCUUUAAAACUCCCAAGCUCCCAGAGUCAGAGAUUUAGUUUAGGUUGGCUAUUCAGUGUGGAGUGGUAACCCUAAAGGAGAAGGGAACAGAAAGUUUUGAGUUACUUUUGUCCCCAAAGAUGUUAUUGAAAUACAUGUUAAAUGGGAAGUUUCCCAAUCUGAAUGGAUACCUUAUGAGCAGUAAGACAACAAGCCUAGGAAUUAAGGCAUGCAGCUAAAACUAGACUGCAAUCAGUUUCCUUACUCAUGCCAUAUCCUAGUAUCAUUGAAUUAGGGGUCUUGAUCAAUUCUCCAGUUCUAUCACUUUUUAAAAAUAAUGCAUCUUCUUUCUUCUAGGGCUCGGCUUCCUUCCUGCUCUCUCAUCUCCUCUUAGGUUUCAUCAUAGGCUUUUUCACUCGUCCAAGAAAUGCUUCCUUUCCACAGUUCCAACCAAUCAGGGGGUAAAGCAAAGGACAAGUGAAGUCAGCUGUGUGCUAAGGAGUGCCUGCAAGCACCGCCUGAGUGCGUGUCGCUCGUCUGGCUUUUUCCCCAAGUGACAGCAACGUGCGGGUUGAGCAAAGCCUGGCCGAAGCACCAGCCGCAAGAGCUCCAGCCGGUGCUUUGCCUGGCAACCUGUGGCCCUCCAGCUGUUGUCGGUCUACAGUUCCCAUGAGUCCCAGCCAGCAUGGCUCAUGGUCAUGGAUGAAGGGGCGUAGUCCCGGAACCUGCGAAGGGACACCGGUUCCCCCUGAUCUGCACAGGCCCCACUCCAUGAGUCCGGGGUCAUUCACCUGAGCCAUCUGUAGCAGUGUCUCUUGCUCUUAUUCAACGCACAAGCUGAACAAACUGGUGGUGUCAGUGGCAUUUUUGUAGACUGAUGCUCCCAGCCUUUCCACAGUGUUAGGUGGCUGUGUUCACCUGCGUAAGUCAACUGGACUGACUCCUGUUUCAGAAACCAGCCUUCAGCAGGCGCGCAGGCUCCAAGGCAUGACAGCACGCCUUGUGCGCUCUGCCUGGGAUGUGGUCCGGGCUCCUGCGGGAUGCCCUUGGAUGCCACCCCUCCACGGCCCCUGAGCCAGCUCCUCUGCCCUGGAAGAGCGCCUCCACCCCACUGGAGUUGAUCUGUGCCCUGUGAGUCAGGAGCAGAGAGGAAACGGGACCAGCCAGAGUUCUGUGUGUUGAAUGGCUGGGAACGGCGCUGCUCUUUUCGAAGACCAGCCAUUCAUUUGUAUGCAGCUCAGUGUUGUGUACGAAUUGCAGUUCCCUGGCGGCGGCGCAAAACCCUGGCCAUCUGUUGGGCUGCCGAGUGACUUCUGGAGAACAACUUGGUGGUCUUUGCUGCUGACAGAUAGAUCUGCUUCCCCCAAGAGGCUGCUGCAGCUGCCACCAAGUGUCUCCUUUUGUCGACACUUUCAGGGUCACGUUUGCACAAACCCAGAUUGAUAUGAUCCUUUAAUCAGCUUUGCCCUGUUGCAUGUUCUGUGGUUUUGUGUACAGCUGGAAAAGAUGUGUUUCCAGAACAGAGGAGAUAGGAGGGCUUAAUUUAGCGCAAAACCCAAAAUCAAACCAAGCAGUUAAGUGAGCCCCUCCCCUUCCUGUAGCACCAUUUCCUUUAACCUGGUGCCCUCCAGAUGAGUUGGACUGCACCACCCAUGGUUCCCGACAGCCUAGCCAAUGGCCCAGUUGGAAGGUGCAGCCCAGCACAUCUGGAAGGCACCAGAUGGGGAAGGAGCUCUGCAGCUUGUCUCUUUUCCCCAGAAACUUCAGGUCUACGUUUCUUUCAGUAAUGAAGGGAAGGCAUUUCAUGCAUGUUCCAAGUGACCUGGAAAUGAGGCUCCUGCCUAAUACACAGUGUGGGAAAUGAACCGUACAGCAUCAAACACAUGACUCCUCCAAUGAAAUAUUGGCAGUACAGGCUACCAGUCAGCCAUGCCCUUUUCAGAUGCUCCCUUCUUUGCACAAUGGGCAUGCUGAUUGGGUUAUUUUGGAUCUCGUCCUCUCCCUGUGGGUUCCUUUAGGAUGUUUUCUCUCCCCUUUACGUCUGCAAACCUUGGAUUCUGUCCAGACUGGCCGAUUCCUCUUGUCCUUGCAUGGCGCUGUUUCAGUGACAUUAGGAUUGGCAUUCAGAGGAUCAGGUUGCUGUUAGUAUAUCAGCAAUGCCAGUUUUGGACCUAAUUCUUAACCACUAUGAUCCACACACUGGUAAUCUUGACACUGGACUCUUAUAAUCCUGUAUGUGGAGUGCUGGGGCUGGUCCAGAAGAUGCAGCUAGUGCAGAAUACUAAGGAGUACUUUGCUAGAUGAACAAAACACACUGGAAGAGUUGCACUGGCUGCCAGAUAUCCACUGAGUCCGAUUCAAGGUGUGAGUGACAUAUGCAGCCUUAACUUAGAACCAGUUUGCCUGAAAGUUCAUCCUCCCUGUACAAACCAGCUAGGCCACUACAGAGCCCCAUCUGGCAGCACAUGACUACAGACCUUCUCUGUGGUGGCCCCCAGUGCUCUGGAAUGACCUCUCCCAAGAGAGUUUGGGCACUGGUGGUCAUGUGACUUUGGGGAUUAUUAAAAUUGUUUACCCUGGC